rnacentral:tRNA from 1 species
UGGGCUGUGGUGAAACGGUAUCACAGAGGCCUUUGAAGCCUUUAUUCCUGGUUCGAAUCCAGGCAGCCCAG